rnacentral:lncRNA from 1 species
CCCGUCCGGUCCCCGCGGCCCUUUCCCCCUCCUCCCCUCCCGCCCCUUGCCGCCUUGGUGACAAAGCGCAGCUCCCGAACUGCUGUCUUGGUGCGCCCCCAACUGCCGACCGCCAGAGGCGGAAGUCGCGGCGCGUCCCAGCAUCUUCGGUGGCUCCGCAACUCUGCCUGGGGGCCGCAGGCCAAACACCCCAUCCCGGCAGGGCAGCCGACUUUCGCUCCAAAGGGAGGCUCACUGCGCCCUAAGCACCUGCCCUCUGAGCUGGACCCCAGAAGGGAUGGGUUCGGGUUGGGGCCCUUCAGCCUCGUCUUCUAGAGACGGGCAAUUAAUCGCGCGCAGAUGUGCCUUCAUGGGUCAUCAGAUUAAUCCUGAUAUCUCUCAAUUAGUUCGGGCUGCUCUAAAGGCCUUCUCUGUCCAGCAUUUUGUUUGCUCCUCCCCAGGUCUCUAAUGAAGUAGAAGAGGCCAGAGUUGUUCUGUCCAGUUUCCAGAUUCUGAGAGCAUCUGAACCAGAAGGAGAGGAGCAGCAAGGAGCUGGUCUGAGUGCAGUGAGGCCUGGAUUUUAAGCCCAGGAGGGAGGCAGACAGAUCCCAAGGAUCUUCGGAGAGAGAGAAGAUCUGUAACUGCUAUGAGAACAGAAUCAAUGGUGGAGGAGUGCUCUCAAACUUGCCCAGCCAAGAUUUCUGGCACUUCAAAGACAGUUGGUGAUAAGCCCUGUUGCCUGGAGCUCGUAUACGGACCUCCUGGACCUAUAGAUGGCAGAGCAACAAGGUGGAAGAAGCCUGGGUCUCUGAUAUCAUGGAGCACCACACCAUAAGGACCAAAGGCCUACAAGAGAAUGAGAAAUGAAGGAGUGUUUGCCAAAUGAAAAAGAGAGAGACAGAGACAGAAACCUAUAAGAAAAUGUAAAUUUCCAAAGUUUUUCUGGGUAGUGAUAAAGGGGUGUGUGUGUGUGCGUGAGAGAGAGAGAUUUUCCACUGAGAAUUAUACAACAUCUUCAUAGAACAUCAGAUUACACUAAACCUUUUUCCAGGCAGGCAGCUGAACCAAAGAAAAAGUUGCUAGAGCACAAACAGCAACAUAGUUAUUUUUAGGCGUACAAUAUGCCACUUUUAAAAAAAACCAUUUUACCAGCCCAGUGAUAUCACCUAAGUGAGACAUUGGAGCAAGAUUAUCAAGAGGGCAAAUGAGAAGUUUCUCUGGAGAUAGAAUGAAAAGGAAGAAGCCUUUCUCAGACCGAUUGAGAAAAACAGUCAACUCUCCUAUUCCUAUUUCUGUUCUCAAUUUGCUGUGAGACUUUAAGUGAGCUAUUAAACAUCUUGGACCUUAGUAAAAUGGGGUGGUAAUUUCAUAUACAGUGGGUAUUGGUAAGCUUUCUUGAUUUCAGAUCCAAAUUGAGCCUCUCUCACAAAAAAGUGUGGCUUUUGUAAGCUGUUCACCUACUGCUGGGGAGCUAAG